CGGUACAGUUCGUCCUUAUUACAUUCUUAGUGUUCAACUGCCUGAGCCCCAACCUCCAACUGCCAGUCACAGUAGAAUUUCCAAAAGUCCAUCUGUUCCCUUCCAGGCUCUCAUUCCUCCUCCUUGGAAGGGUUCCUUCUUGUUUCCAAGUAGCUUUUGGGAGGCUGAAGUUGUCUGGCUCCGUACAGGAUCAACACGCUGACUGGAGCAGAGAGGCCCCAGCGGCUGAGCUGUUGCCGGCCUUUGAGAGUUAUGCCUGAAGCUCGGCACAGGACAGUAGAUACUUUCAUACUUACUUACAGAAAUAGAAGGAGAUGCUAUUGAUAAGACUUUGGACGCUGAUGGCUGGACACUCCAUUAUAGUUACCUUGAACAUGAACCCAAAAAUGAACAUCUAAAUUAGUUCCUUGAGAGCAUUCAAGAAAAAAGCCAAUCACAUCUAUGUAACAUGUAAACAGCAUCCAUUUCCCGUUGAUGAUCCCAAACGUGGACUCUCAGCAAAGGGGAAUGAUGCUUCCCUCAGCACCGGGAGGGAAGAAGAGCCAGGCUCCUACUGCUUCUCAGAGGGAUUUGCCUCAAAGUGUGAUUCUAAUCAACACAUGAGUGAGGAAGAGGGGAUGGGACCGAAUCGCAACAAGGCACGCUAGCCACAUCUGAAUCCAGAUGUUGGUUGCUGGUGACAACAAGCUGCCUUCUUUGUUUAAUGAGGCCACCGACAAGCUGAACUCCAAGGAAACUCUGACGAUAGAGAGCAACACUC
rnacentral:lncRNA from 1 species